rnacentral:rRNA from 1 species
GAUGAACGCUGGCGGCGUGCCUAAUACAUGCAAGUCGAACGAACAGACGCGGCGCUUGCUGCUCUGACGAUAGCGGAGGACGGGUGAGUAACACGUGGAUCCCCUCCCUAUAUUACUGGGAACAUUUCGGAAAACCGGCGAUAAUCCCGGAUGAUAUAUUGCACCGCAUGGUUGGUUGGUGAAUUUCGGUUUUGCUGGCUCUUAUCGCUGGAUCCGGGCCGUUUUAGCUGGUUGUUAAGUUAACGGCUUACCAAGGCGACGAUGCGUAGCCGACCGGAGAGGCGGGUCGGCCGCACUGGAAGUGGAACACCGUCCAGGCGCCUACGGGAGGCAGCAGUAGGGAACCUGCCGCAAUAGGCGAAAACCUGGCGGAGCGAGGCCGCGUGAGUGAUGGAGGUCUUCGGAUCGUAAAACUCUGUUAUUAGGGAUGAACAAAUUUGGAAGUAACCAUGCACGGCUUGACGGUACCUAGUCAAAAAGCCACGGCUAACUACGUG